GGCGAGCAACAUGGCGGGUUCCGUCGUCAUUCAGCAAAACCUGACGGAGGCUGUAAAAUGCAGCAAGAGGGGGACGGAGCAACGGCAGCAGUCAGACGGUCAUCCAGGCGAAUGACUGCUCAAAACAUGCAGCAAGGUCGGUGCUGAGAAGUAUCUUCAUCUGAGCUUACAUGGGAGCUGUGGUAGUAACUGAAGGCACCGUGACAGUUACGGUCUGUGUGAAAGUUAUUGCAGACCACCUGCAUCGGUUCACACUCGAUGUCUUCCUUGGUAGAGACGUCCGUCCCAGGAGGUUAACUGUCCAUAUCACAAGUUUGUUAAGGUGGCGUAACUGAGCGAGAGGGAGUUGAAGCUACGACACCUGGCACACCACACACGAGCUGACAAGAAACGAGGACGACAGCAAUGAGGGGAGCACACAGCUGACGAUGGUGAUGGCAUGCAGACCACGCCCUGAAUCGACGGGGACGGUGGUCAACUCAGCAGCCAAGGAGAGGUGAGAUCCAGCACCUCUGUGUACGACAAAGAGGUCGGUCCUGGUCUCUGUACACGGUGCGGAUCGGGGGCAGCAGUGAAGAGGUCCAAGAAGGUUUCUAUAUUUGUUGCUCGUCACGUCAGGUGGAGCGACAGCCCAGCUGACCUUUUGUGCCUAAUAACACCAACUUUGAGGAUCUGAGCUAAAAAUAGGGUCUCGUCUGAUCACGGUUCCUCCCUUGCCCUAAAGCGUCUAUAGAAGGAGCAAUGACCUGUGGCUGAGCUGCGAGAGGUCACCGAUCAUAGAUGCACUGAUGGGAUCUUGGGCCUGUCGGACAAGAUGUCAACAACGAGCUCUUAGGUGAGAGCCAUCCUGCCUCAAGAAGAUGCGGCUGCCUGUGGCACCAUCUCGGUAAUCGACAUUGCUCUCUUCUCAGCCGUUAGUCGUCCCUCAACUUGCUAGUCAGAAUUAAUGUCA